CAGCAGCCGCGGGAAUACGUAGGGUGCGAGCGUUAAUCGGAAUAACUGGGCGUAAAGCGUGCGCAGGCGGUUAUAUAAGACAGAUGUGAAAUCCCCGGGCUCAACCUGGGACCUGCAUUUGUGACUGUAUAGCUAGAGUACGGUAGAGGGGGAUGGAAUUCCGCGUGUAGCAGUGAAAUGCGUAGAUAUGCGGAGGAACACCGAUGGCGAAGGCAAUCCCCUGGACCUGUACUGACGCUCAUGCACGAAAGCGUGGGGAGCAGACAGGAUUAGAGACCCCUGUAGUCCCUGUCUCUUAUAC
rnacentral:rRNA from 1 species